GAAGAGUUUUGCUUAUAAUAGAAUCAUUAAUAUGGUUGUGGUUGUGGCGACCAAUGGCGAUAUGAUCACCCCUGUGCUCUAGGCUGCUGACAAGUUGGAUCUUUAUCUGCUAUCUUAGAAGUGGAAGGAGCUUGUGGAGAAAGCACGAUCUAAGCAACUAUAGCCCCAUGAGUACAACUCGGCUCCGCGAUGAAUACGGAGAUUCAUGA
rnacentral:lncRNA from 1 species